UACCUGCAGCUCAAGUGGUAACCGCUAUUAUUGGGCCUAAAGCGUCCGUAGCCGGUUUGGUAAAUAUCUGGGUAAAUCGUGAGGCUUAACUUCACGAAUUUCGGAUAGACUGCCAGACUUGGGAUCGGGGGAGGUCAGAGGUACUCCAGGGGUAGCGGUGAAAUGUUGUAAUCCUUGGAGGACCACCGGUAGCGAAGGCGCCUGACUAGAACGAGUCCGACGGUGAGGGACGAAGCCCUGGGGCGCAAACCGGAUUAGAUACCCGGGUAGUCCAGGGUGUAAACGAUGUGGGCUUUGUAUUGGAGGUCCCACGUGGGCGUCCAGUGCAGAAGAGAAGUUGUUAAGCCCACCGCCUGGGAAGUGCGGUCGCAAGGCUGAAACUUAAAGGAAUUGGCGGGGGAGCACAGCAACGGGAGGAGCGUGCGGUUU
rnacentral:rRNA from 1 species